rnacentral:rRNA from 1 species
AAGUGCUUGGUCGAGAUUGUAAGAUACAUUUAAACAAUGACCUCAAAUCAGGCAAGAAUACCCGCUGAACUUAAGCAUAUCAAUAAGCGGAGGAAAAGAAACUAACAAGGAUUCCCCUAGUAACGGCGAGUGAAGAGGGAAAAGCUCAAAUUUUAAAUCUGCCUUGUUUCAAGGUCGAGUUGUAAUUUGAAGAAGCGUUUUCUUGGGCACGCGACCGGUAGAAGUUCUUUGGAACAGGACAUCAUAGAGGGUGACAAUCCCGUCUGCGACCGGUCGUGCGUUCAUCUACGAUACGCUUUCAAAGAGUCGAGUUGUUUGGGAUUGCAGCUCCAAAUGGGUGGUAAACAUCACCUAAGGCUAAAUAUUGGCGAGAGACCGAUAGCGAACAAGUACCGUGAGGGAAAGAUGAAAAGAACUUUGAAAAGAGAGUUAAACAGUACGUGAAAUUGUUGAAAGGGAAACGAUUGAAGUCAGUCGUGCUGGCGCGAAAUCAACCCUCUCGUCGAGAGGUCACAUGGCGUGGCGAGCCUCAAAACCGUCACGAAGCGUGAACUCUUGGCGAAAAGGAGCACUUUCGUGUCCGCUGGUUAACAUCAAUUUCGAACGUCAUAAAAAGGCUGGAGGGAUGUGGCUCCUUCGGGAGUGUUAUAACCUUUAGCGGAAUGUGGUGGUCGGGAUUGAGGAUUGCAACGAAUACCUUUAGGGCUGUUCCACCUGGCUUCUCUUUGGUAUCCUGGUGACGACAGCUUGCUGACGUUGUUAGGAUUCGCCUUUGAACAGGCUAGAGUGUGAGCAAAUUCGUUAAGGAUGUUAACGUAAUGGCUUUAAACGACC